rnacentral:rRNA from 1 species
CCUACGGGUGGCAGCGGUGGGGAAUAUUGGGCAAUGGGCGCAAGCCUGACCCAGCAACGCCGCGUGAAGGAAGAAGGCUCUCGGGUUGUAAACUUCCUUUGUCAGGGACGAAGCAAGUGACGGUACCUGACGAAUAAGCCACGGCGAACUACGGGCCAGCAGCCGCUGUAAUACGUAGGUGGCAAGCGUUAUCCGGAUUUACUGGGUGUAAAGGGCGUGUAGGCGGGACUGCAAGUCAGAUGUGAAAACCACGGGCUCAACCUGUGGCCUGCAUUUGAAACUGUAGUUCUUGAGUGCUGGAGAGGCAGACGGAAUUCCUGGUGUAGCGGUGAAAUGCGUAGAUAUUAGGAAGAACACCGGUGGCGAAGGCAGUCUGCUGGACAGCAACUGACGCUGAGGCGCGAAAGCGUGGGUAGCAAACAGGAUUAGAUACCCCAGUAGUC